rnacentral:rRNA from 1 species
AUACGGAGGAUCCGAGCGUUAUCCGGAUUUAUUGGGUUUAAAGGGUGCGUAGGCGGCCUUUUAAGUCAGCGGUGAAAGUCUGUGGCUCAACCAUAGAAUUGCCGUUGAAACUGGGGGGCUUGAGUAUGUUUGAGGCAGGCGGAAUGCGUGGUGUAGCGGUGAAAUGCAUAGAUAUCACGCAGAACCCCGAUUGCGAAGGCAGCCUGCCAAGCCAUGACUGACGCUGAUGCACGAAAGCGUGGGGAUCAAACAGGAUUAGAUACCCUGGUAGUCCACGCAGUAAACGAUGAUCACUAGCUGUUUGCGAUACACUGUAAGCGGCACAGCGAAAGCGUUAAGUGAUCCACCUGGGGAGUACGCCGGCAACGGUGAAACUCAAAUGAAUUGACGGGG